rnacentral:rRNA from 1 species
AAACGUAGGACGCAAGCGUUAUCCGGAUUCACUGGGCGUAAAGCGUGUGCAGGCGGUCGAGUAAGUCGGACGUGAAAGCCCCAGGCUCAACCUGGGAACUGCGCUUGAUACUGGUAGACUAGAGGCCGGGAGAGGGUAGUGGAAUUCCCAGUGUAGAGGUGAAAUUCGUAGAUAUUGGGAAGAACACCAGUGGCGAAGGCGGCUACCUGGACCGGACCUGACGCUGAGGUGCGAAAGCGUGGGGAGCAAACAGGAUUAGAUACCCCGGUAGUCC